rnacentral:rRNA from 1 species
UCGAUGGAUAGGGGUUCUGAGAGGAAGGUCCCCCACAUUGGAACUGAGACACGGUCCAAACUCCUACGGGAGGCAGCAGUGAGGAAUAUUGGUCAAUGGGCGAGAGCCUGAACCAGCCAAGUAGCGUGAAGGAUGACUGCCCUAUGGGUUGUAAACUUCUUUUAUAAAGGAAUAAAGUCGGGUAUGGAUACCCGUUUGCAUGUACUUUAUGAAUAAGGAUCGGCUAACUCCGUGCCAGCAGCCGCGGUAAUACGGAGGAUCCGAGCGUUAUCCGGAUUUAUUGGGUUUAAAGGGAGCGUAGAUGGAUAUUUAAGUCAGUUGUGAAAGUUUGCGGCUCAACCGUAAAAUUGCAGUUGAUACUGGAUAUCUUGAGUGCAGUUGAGGCAGGCGGAAUUCGUGGUGUAGCGGUGAAAUGCUUAGAUAUCACGAAGAACUCCGAUUGCGAAGGCAGCCUGCUAAGCUGCAACUGACAUUGAGGCUCGAAAGUGUGGGUAUCAAACAGGAUUAGAUACCCUGGUAGUCCACACGGUAAACGAUGAAUACUCGCUGUUUGCGAUAUACUGCAA